ACCAAAUUGAUGCAUAAAGGGGCAGUUUUGGGUUUUCCCCCCGGAUUUCCCUCACAAGGCGCGGCUCAGGGGCCCAGGCUGUGUGGUUCCAUGGUGUAAUGGUUAGCACUCUGGACUCUGAAUCCAGCGAUCCGAGUUCAAAUCUCGGUGGAACCUGAAGGUUUUUUUUUUACCGUGGGCAAAUUUCUUUGCUGGAAAAUCGUGGAAAAGUUGUUUCAGGUGUUUUUCAUGGGCUGUUGAAAAGCCGUGAACUGCUGACAUAUCCCAUGCUACCUGGAAAGCGUAUGGAAAGUGAAAGAGGAAGAGAAGACAAACACAGAAUUUUCCUGAUUAUAUUUUUUUCCAUAUCUAUUUCUUAUUGCAGCCAGGUUGGUAUAUUCUGACAGGAAUUAUCUGAAGAAUCUCAGAGAUGUCACAGCUCACUGGAACAUCAGUGGUUCUUUCGUUUCUACACUGGGAACACGAUUCUAAAUUCUGCAUUAGCAAAGCUGGAGGCACUGCUGAGCUCCGGGGCAGGGUUUCUCAGGACACCAGAACACAUCUCCUCUCCUGCAAACCUCUCCUCACUAGUCACUGGUUUACACAGCAACAGGAACAUCCCUGCUCUGUGCCAGCAGCUCCUCCUCCUUUUCCUCUGGCCAGGCUGAUACAGAAUUAAGUGACUGUCUCUAUGUGAUUAUGCCUGCAAGAGCUUUAUUCAUGGAAUUCUCAUUGUGUGACAGUUCCUGGUAGAAGCAGUCACAGGAGCUGCACCACAAACACAGCUCUGAACAUGUUCCCCCUGUGCCACUCCAAUUCCUCCACUCUAGACAAGAUCCAAGCAGGAUAUUAACUGGAACUGAAAAGGAUUUUUCCAAACUUACAGAGCUUUCUGUUUUCUGCAAGAAAGCACGUUUACUGCUCCACUACCACCCCUUUGGAAAGAUACCAAGGAACAUCUGUCACACUUGAACAAAGAUCAGGGAGAGCAGCCUCUGUAACUAAGCCUGAGAAUUAACCACCAGGCACAGUGCUCCCUGAGCCAGGCAUAUGGGGUGUAAACAAAACCUCUUCAGUGCUUUGUGUGCUUCUCAUCCACAGCACAGUUCAGUCUGAGCUAAACUGGAAAAACUAACUGCUGUCCUCAGUAUAAAAACCAGUUAAUUACCAUUUCCUGAAAGGGUGCUGCUUCUAGCAGUUCUCCAUGAACAUAUUGGGGAAGUGGAAAUUUACUGUGAAGGAGAGGGGAGCACAGAGCAGAUGGUCAAGCCCACGACUGUGUCCCUGCAGCUUUGUGUGAGGCACAUCAGCCUGCUGGGCUUCACUCAAGAUCAAGCACAGGAGAGCUCUGAGUGGGGUCAACACCCCCAGACAGUCACAUUUACCAGCAAGGCAUGAGCUCAGCACAGUCAAAUCUAAUAUUACUGCUUUAAAAUAAAAAUAAAGAGCUACACAAAUCUUCAAAAGUCAUACAUUUUAAAGGAGUUACUAUAUAGCAUAUAAUCUGAGGUAAUGACCCUUUUGUGUUUAGACAGCAUAUACAGUUUUAUAUUAUCUGUUUCAUAUUACUUUAUAUAUAGCAAUGAACAUCUAAGACAACAAUUCUGUGGUUUUGGCCACUACAUAAAGGAUGAAGCUGUGGCAUAUUCAGGCUUUGAUGCAGGUUUUUUUCUUUAAAAAGAAAAAACCAUUCUCCUGAGCAGUUUUACAUUGAUGCUGAAUGUGCUCCAAGGUGUCAUUUAUGAUCAAAAUAAGGAAACAAUCCACAAC